UGGGGAAUUUUGGACAAUGGGCGAAAGCCUGAUCCAGCAAUGCCGCGUGUGUGAAGAAGGCCUUCGGGUUGUAAAGCACUUUUGUCCGGAAAGAAAUCCUUGGCUCUAAUACAGUCGGGGGAUGACGGUACCGGAAGAAUAAGCACCGGCUAACUACGUGCCAGCAGCCGCGGUAAUACGUAGGGUGCAAGCGUUAAUCGGAAUUACUGGGCGUAAAGCGUGCGCAGGCGGUUUGCUAAGACCGAUGUGAAAUCCCCGGGCUCAACCUGGGAACUGCAUUGGUGACUGGCAGGCUAGAGUAUGGCAGAGGGGGGUAGAAUUCCACGUGUAGCAGUGAAAUGCGUAGAGAUGUGGAGGAAUACCGAUGGCGAAGGCGAGCCCCCUGGGCCAAUACUGACGCUCAUGCACGAAAGCGUGGGGGAGCAAAACAGGAUUAGAUACCCUGGGUAGUCCACGCCCCUAAAACGAUGUCAACUAGUUGUUGGGGAUUCAUUUCCUUAGUAACGUAGCUAACGCGUGAAGUUGACCGCC
rnacentral:rRNA from 1 species